rnacentral:rRNA from 1 species
GUGAAAUUCCGUCGGAAUCUGGGAGGACCAUCUCCUAAGGCUAAAUACUCUCUAGUGACCGAUAGUGAACCAGUACCGUGAGGGAAAGGUGAAAAGCACCCCGGAAGGGGAGUGAAAUAGAACCUGAAACCGUGUGCUUACAAGUAGUCAGAGCCCGUUAAUGGGUGAUGGCGUGCCUUUUGUAGAAUGAACCGGCGAGUUACGAUUUGAUGCAAGGUUAAGCAGUAAAUGUGGAGCCGUAGCGAAAGCGAGUCUGAAUAGGGCGUUUAGUAUUUGGUCGUAGACCCGAAACCAGGUGAUCUACCCUUGGUCAGGUUGAAGUUCAGGUAACACUGAAUGGAGGACCGAACCGACUUACGUUGAAAAGUGAGCGGAUGAACUGAGGGUAGCGGAGAAAUUCCAAUCGAACCUGGAGAUAGCUGGUUCUCUCCGAAAUAGCUUUAGGGCUAGCCUCAAGUGAUGAUUAUUGGAGGUAGAG